AAGAAAACUUUGUUGUGAAGGAGUCUUUCCCAGCAGUCGCCAUGCUGAGAGGAGGCGGAGAGGGGGAAAAGGGGCGAGCCACAGGCACUGCCAAGAGCAUCCUCCAGUGUGGGCUUCCCACGGGGCCACAGUCUCCUUUGGACAUCCCCUCCUUUGGUGUGGGGUCCUCCACAGGCUGCAGGUGAGAUCUGUUCCACUAUAGACCUCCAUGGGCUGCACAUGAUACCAGAUUAAACUAGUAUUCCAUUGUGGAUGGAGACACAGUCAAGGCUGAAAGGAUUCUCGAGAUAAGGAAGGCAUGCAACAGAAGAACCAAAUGUCUUCCUUCAAAUAGAUGAGGGCCUUCCUCUCUUCAAUAAGGAGGAAGAGAAAUAAGUAAAUGGCUGCAAGAGAAAACUGCUAGAAGAGCCUCUUAGGUCAUAAAUUUGCCCAAACAAGAGCAUGUAGUUAAUUGGCGAGACUAAACAAGCACUCCCAUGUCCUUAUAUAACAGAUGUCCAUAAAAGGGUAAAAUGAGGUAUUUCUCCCCAAGUGACCACCAUGACCAGCAAAGACCAUUCUUUGAAUUCACAGUGCCUGGCCGUAUCUACCCAAAUUACUAUAUGCAAUGAGAACUGGGUGGGAACUUCACAAAUUAUGAUGAAUAUGUAUAUAAUAAAUGUAUGUAAGCUGUAAACUGUCUCUUCUUGGUGUGCAUGAUAGGUGGAGUGAUUCCCCCAUGCACCCAAUACCGCAAUAAAGUCACAUCAGUUUCCUAACCUGU